rnacentral:rRNA from 1 species
CCGCGGUAAUACGUAGGUUCCGAGCGUUGUCCGGAUUUAUUGGGCGUAAAGCGAGCGCAGGCGGUUAGAUAAGUCUGAAGUUAAAGGCUGUGGCUUAACCAUAGUGACGCUUUGGAAACUGUUUAACUUGAGUGCAAGAGGGGAGAGUGGAAUUCCAUGUGUAGCGGUGAAAUGCGUAGAUAUAUGGAGGAACACCGGUGGCGAAAGCGGCUCUCUGGCUUGUAACUGACGCUGAGGCUCGAAAGCGUGGGGAGCAAACAGGAUUAGAUACC